rnacentral:rRNA from 1 species
UACGAAGGUGGCAAGCGUUGUUCGGAUUUACUGGGCGUAAAGGGUGCGCAGGCGGUUCUGCAAGUCAGGCGUGAAAUCCCCGGGCUUAACCUGGGAAUGGCGCUUGAAACUACGGGACUGGAGUAUGGCAGAGGGAGGUGGAAUUCCACGUGUAGCGGUGAAAUGCGUAGAGAUGUGGAGGAACACCGAUGGCGAAGGCAGCCUCCUGGGCCAAUACUGACGCUCAUGCACGAAAGCGUGGGGAGCAAACAGG